GAAGUACGAGCUCAUCGGGGCGGCGGCCGCCGGCGGCGCGGAGCCGGUGCUGAACCCUUUAUCCUUUGGGAUAAUCCGGUGCCGGGAGGACACCAGGCUCUCUGAUCUUGAGGACAGACCUAGAAGAUGCACCCCAGCUCACCAAAGACUCUCCAGCUUACACUAAAUCACACCGUGCUGACCUCCCACGGCCAAAUACAAAUGCCUAAAAACCCAGAUGGACUCAAAGAUUCAGGAGGCCAGAAUUUU
rnacentral:lncRNA from 1 species